rnacentral:rRNA from 1 species
UACGGAGGAUGCAAGCGUUAUCCGGAAUUAUUGGGCGUAAAGCGUCUGUAGGCGGAUGUUCAAGUCUGCUGUCAAAGACCGGAGCUUAACCCUGGAAAGGCGGUGGAAACUGCAGAGCUAGAGUGCGGUAGGGGCGGAGGGAAUUCCCAGUGUAGCGGUGAAAUGCGUAGAGAUUGGGAAGAACACCGGUGGCGAAAGCGCUCUGCUGGGCCUGCACUGACACUAAGGGACGAAAGCUAGGGGAGCGAAUGGG